UAGAAAUGAUUUCUUUUGGUUAUUCAAAUCUAAUUUGCAUAAGAAAUAAUAAUAAUAAUAUAAAUUCAAUAAUGAUUUAUGUAUGUAUAAUGCAUUUACAAUAUUAUUCUAAUUAAUAGAUAUAAUAAUUGAGCUGAUAUAUUUUUGAACAUAAGGUCAUGUCAUGUGAGUCAGACUAAAGCAGGGCUCCAUCUUUUAUAUAUAUAAUAAAAAAAAGGAAGCCUAAGUUACAUGGAAUGCAACUGCACACAGAAGAAAAAGUGUGCAAUGUGUAGAUUGUCCAAUUGUGCAUGGUGGAUGCGUAUAACGUGUGCAUGAUGGACAAGCAUUGCAUAUUAGUUACACACUAAUUGAUUCUAUUCCCUUUUCCCAUUUCAUUUUUUGAGUAAUAAAAAUUUUAUUUUUAUAAUAUGAAGUAUAUUUAAACUGUAAACUAAUAUAUAAUUUGUUAUUUUAUUAAGAUUAUAUUCUAAAUUAAUGAUUCCAAAUUUGAGUGGUUAAAUUAAUACAUAAAUAGCUAAAAUGAAUAAUGGAAGGAUAUCAUAUAUCAUAUAUAAUAGUGUAGCUAUUAUUCGCACAAAAGAAUAUGUAUUAUUUUAAAAAAAUAUAAAAUCAUUUUUAUUUAAAAGGAAAAAGAAAAUGAGAGUUUAACUUUGUCCACACUGAUCACAUAACACUUGUUCGUUUUCUCGAAACUUGUUAGUUAGAUAGCGACACUGCUCUGAGCUCUUAAUGUGACGCGUUAUGCUUAUCCAGAAAUUCAAUUUACCCUAAGGUAAUUCAUAAACAAAAAGAAACAAACAAAGAUAAUUUCCAAUUUACCGUAGUUAAAAAUUUUGUCCAAUUAAAUCACAUUAAUUUUUUUUUUAAAAAUAAAAGACACAAAUUAUAAUCACUGAAAUUUAAAUUAAAACCAC
rnacentral:lncRNA from 1 species